rnacentral:rRNA from 1 species
GACGAACGCUGGCGGCGUGCUUAACACAUGCAAGUCGAACGGAAAGGCCCUGCUUGUGUGGGGUGCUCGAGUGGCGAACGGGUGAGUAACACGUGAGUAACCUGCCCUUGACUUUGGGAUAACUUCAGGAAACUGGGGCUAAUACCGGAUAUGAGCUCCUGCUGCAUGGUGGGGGGUGGAAAGUUUCGGCGGUUGGGGAUGGACUCGCGGCUUAUCAGCGUGUUGGUGGGGUAGUGGCGUACCAAGGCGUUGACGGGUAGCCGGGCUGGGAGGGUGACCGGCCCCAGUGGGACUGAGGAACGGGCCAGACUCCUACGGGGGGAAUGAGUGGGGAAUAUUGCACAAUGGGCGGAAGCCUGAUGGAGGAACGCCGCGUGCGGGAUGACGGCCUUCGGGUUGGAAAACGCUUUCGCCUGGGACGAAGCGUCAGUGACGGUAAUGGGUAAAGAAGCACCGGCUAACUACGUG